ensembl:lncRNA MIR99AHG mir-99a-let-7c cluster host gene
AGGCAGCUUCUGCUAGUGUUUAGGUACUAGUGCAGUGUAGAACCCUUUUCUCAGGCAAAACCUAACAUCUGACCGCACCCUUUUUGCUAUUAAAAAAAAAAAAAAGCUUCUAUUUUUUUCCUCCUGUCGUUAAGAUAAAUUCUCCAGUAGACAACCUCUCCCACUAAUUGUGUAUUAGCAACGUAUUUUAUCUUGAGAGCUUGUACACUGGGCUCUCAACGUGGUGUGGAAGGUAGCCUGUUACAGUGCUGGAUUCAUAAAAGGGCCUUUAUGGUUUGUGAAAGAAUAUCUGUGUGCUUAGGGAGGAAACUUUUUGAUCUGCAGAAAAGCCAGAAGACAUCUAGGACAUCCAUAAAAAUUCAUCAGAGAGCAUUUUACUACUGAGCUGCAAAGGGAAAAACUUAAAAUGGAUAUGAAAAGUGAAGAAAGUGAUCAUAGGAGAAAACCAUUUCAGGUGUCUGAUGAUUUGUGAGCCUCAAGUGACUACUCUGUGGAAUCAUCUGUCCUUGCCUUUGAAUUAGCUUUCCCUAGGCCAUGAGUCAACAUUAGUAGUUUAUACAUCCAAAUUGAUGACAAGAGCACCUCAAAGGCAGCAGCCUCAAGGAGCAGCCAUGGCCCCAGACUUGUCGCACGGAUGCAGAAAACUUAAUGGAGGAGGCUGAGGUCAGAAUGGGAAGAGUUUUUAAAAAAUAAAAAGGGGAGCUAAUAUGUGAGGAACUGAUUGCUGUGCAUUAUUUUCCACUGAACAGACCUUCUUUUAACUUCUAAUCUCAAGCACAUAGCAGCUGUUGUUUUCAUAUUAAAGAUCAGUAAGUGUUUGUUGAAUGAAUGUAUAAAUUCUUCCCCAAUCUCUGUUCCAUGUAAUAAGAACUAAGUUAGCAUUCAAUUAUAAAGAGGACUUAGAAAGUCUGCAGACAUUUUUGAUCAAAAAUCCUUUUAACUGUCUUCUUAUGGUUCCCGGUAACACCUAAGCCCAAAAAACUCAGGUCAUUUCUUGCCUGUACUGUUGCAAUAGCCUCAUAAUAACUAGUCUUCUCCUUUAUCAACCACAGUCGUCUCCGCUACACAAAGAAGAGAGGGUGCUAAUCUAAAGUGUAAAUUAUUUUAAAUCAGCACCCUUCUUGUAAUUUCCCAGUGGUUUUUCCUGUCAUAAGAAUAACAUGCAAAAUUCCUUGCUUGCAAAGCCAGGUAUGACCUUGCCCCGUCUACCUUACUGGCAUCGUCUCUCAUGACUCUUCCCCUUUUUCACUCUCCAUCUUGCCUUUUCCCAACCAUGCCUGCUAGUGAGCCUUAGCCCUUGUGUUUUCUCUGCCAGGGAUGCAUGACUGGCUUCUUUACUUUAUUCUGAUCUCUCUGCUCAAAUGUCAUCUUUUUAGAGAUAGCUUUCCUAAACAUCUUUAAAAGUACCCCAUGAACUGUGAAACACCUUUCCUGCUUUUUCUUCAUAGUACUUAUCACUUCCUGAUAUUAUGUUAGACAACAAGCAAAUAAGUAUAUGCUGUUCCCACUAAAAUAUAAGCUCCAUUUGAACAGGAGCCUUGAUUAUUCCUGAGUAUACCCCUAGUGCCCAGAACCUAGUAGGGCUUUAAUAAAUAUUAGAUUCAUUUGUUGAAUGAAAAAAUGAAUGAAUAAUUGAAUAAAGAUAUCCAGGUAGAGUGUCCGGGCAGCCCAACCUAUGUGAAGCCAGUACAAGAAUGUUUCUGUGACAUAGUGAGCGCAAUUAUUCCUCUAAAUGAUGAACUUGCAUGAGUACACAAGGAUAAAAUUAAGCACGUAGUUUAGAUUUCUGCAAGUCUCUUCCUCAGAUUGAGGAAAAACAAAGAAAUUGAGCUUAUUCUCACCUCAUUCUUACAUGAACUAAAUCCAGAAUAAAGCAUCAUUUAAAUACCAAGCACAUCCCUACCUCAGCCACUCAUGGAAUACUUUAUCUGUAAAGGGACAGAUAGAUAGUAAAUAUUUUUGGCUUUGGGGACCGUACAGUCUGUGUCGCCACUACUCAGCACUUCUGUUGAGGUGUGGAAUCAGCCCUAGACAACACAUAAACAAAUGGGUGUGGCUGUGUUCCAAUAAAAUGUUAUUUAUAAAACUAGGAAAUCAGCAGAUUUAGUCCACAGGCUGUAGUUUGCUGACCCUUGAAUUAGAGAGUCUUCCCCAAAUCCUCUUCCCAAGUUAUUGAAAGAAUGCCCAUAGGACCAUAGCUCCCUCACCUGGUUCUUUCAAGAAAUGAGACAAAUUCAGGGAUGGUUGGAGGGUGGAACGCCUACCUGUGACAUGACUAUUGAGCCUGAUUUCUUUCCUUUUAUCUCUUUAAAGUGAGUCAGGUCUUAACUUUAAACUGUCUCUAAAGUGGCAAUAACUGGGCCAUGUCAAAUACUCCCAAUGACAAAAUUUCUUCUUGGAGAAUGAAUGAGGGUUGCAUACAGUGGUGUGUUGGUAAAUGUUUAGCAACUGGCUCUCUUACUGAUUUCUGUAGUGUAAAUUCUCCCAUCCUGGCCAUCUGAAACUACCAAUAUGAUGUCACUUGAUGUAGAGUUGGGAAAAGACAGUCUCUUGAAUAAGUAUGAGCUGGUUCCAGCCCACUGCUGAACACAUAUUUAAAAGCUACAAUAGCUCUGCUCACUGCCAUUGCAGAGUCUGGAGGAAAGAGUAGCAGGCUUGAUAGGAGCAAUUGGCUGAAUAAUCUUUUGCAAUGCCAAUAAAUAAUGAAAAAGUAUAUAAAUAUAACGCUGUAUAGAAAGCUCUCAAGUUCAGUGUUUGGUUAAAAUACAUACUCAGUAAAUGGUAGCUAUUAUUGUCUUAGUUUAAGUUAUUGCAAGCAUUAAAAUUAAAUGUUUAGCUACAGACUCAAUCCAGUUUUAAUGUCAUUGUGUUAAUAAGGCCUCUUAACAUUGAAGCAACAAAGAUAAAGGAAUUUUUUUGUAGCUAUUCACGAUUCUGCCCAGCUCAAGGUAAAGAUAGCAACAAAAUACUCCAACCAGAAUAAAAGAAGUCUCCACUUGACUGCAGCUCUUCGCAACACUUCACAAGGGUCAAGCUGUGUUAGUUUCCUUCAGUGUUAAACAGAAUGCAUCUUAAGAGAAUAGUUCAAUUAUUGAUUGAAUAGUAGGUUCAAGUUGACUAUAAUCCCAACUAAUACACUCUAAGACCAGGGAUGGGCCGACAGAAGGGUAAAGUUUUCCACUCAAGUCUCGAGGCAAACACUCAGAUAGAAGUAGUAAUAUGGAUGCCUUCUAUUAUUUGGUCACAUACAAUACUGUUCCAGCCCAGUUGUGCAAAACUGGUGAAAUAAAAGGCAAAAAUAUUGACAACAGUUUGGGUAACUGGAUUCCAAAAUGGGCAUCCAUCUAAGAGAAAUUAAUGAAAAAAAAGCAUAUGGACCUUGAAAUACAUUAAUACACAGUUUAGGUUUAAACACUCAGUUUUUAUUAGAAAAGACUAACUUAUCCUGUUUUGAACACUACAAAAGUGCUUUCUGAACCAUUUACUCUCAAACCUCCUCCACCCAUUCCCCUCCAUCUAUAACGCUUUCUGCACAUCUGUAAAAGGUAUGACUUAGUGUUUGGUCUGUGAAAUAAGGUUAAAAAGGAAGCAUUUCUUUUUACAUUCUAGCUAAUGUUGAUAUUUUUCUCAUGCUUCUAUUAGCACAUAAUUCAGAUACAUUAGUUUUGAAGUUUUGAAUCUUCUCUGCUUCUUGAGGGCUCUCUGUUCUAGAUCAACAUGAUCUGUGGAACACCAGCCAAGUCCUGGGCAGAACCCUCCCCGUUGUCCAAAUAUUACUGAAUCAGUUGAGUUUUCUCUGUUGUCAAUGAAUUAUUCCACAUGUUUCUUUGGCUACAUUUUUUUUGGCUUUCUGUUCACAGUAAAUAUAGCCUUUGUUUUUAAAAACUUCUAUUAUGAAAAUUCCAAAUAUAUGCAAAUUAGAGAGAAUAGCAUAAUGAACCUCUAUGUGCUUAUCACACAUAUAGGUUCAACUAAUUAAAUUAUAUCAAUUUAUGGCCAAUCUGGUUUCAUUUAUAACAUCAUUCGCUCAUUCCUAACUCCCUGGAUUAUUUGAUUGACAUGUUUCUAAAGUUCCUUUUAAUCUGUAGGUUCCCCCUCUCAUUUAAUCUUUUGCAACUUAUUCAUUGAUGAAACUGGGUUAUUUGUCCUUUAUUGUUUCUCUCAUUCUGAAAUAUGCUGUAAUGUCAUUAACCAUAUUCUUCUUUCCUGUAUUUUCUGUAAGCUUUGAGCUAGGCAGAAAUAUUUUAAUCAGAUUCCUUUUUUUUUCUUUUAGCAAGAUUUCUUCAUAAAUAAUAU